rnacentral:lncRNA from 1 species
AGUACUCAGCUCAGCAAAUGCCCCAGUGUCUUUGGAAUCCUUACAACUAGAAGCCUGCUUUAUCUUUUUUUUUUUUUUUUUUUUUAAAGGAGAAAUGGCUUGAGAAAGACAUGUUGAAGAGGAAAAAUACGUUAAGCAGCACAGAGAUUUCUUAAUUGCUUGAAGUACAGGCCCAGGCAUAGAAUUGGAUUUGGUUACCACUUGCCAACUGUCUUAGAAUCUGAAGACUCCAGCUCUAGUUCCCGACUCUGACACCUACUAGCUCUGCAACUUUACGGAAACCACUUACCUCUCUGAGCCUCAGUUUCCUCCUCUGUGAAAUGGGCUGGUAAUAUCUAUGGCAUAAACACUUCAUUGAUGGUAUGGGACCAGCUGAGGCUACAAGUGUAAAAAUAUUGUUUGAAAAUGUUAAUUGCUAUUUGAUUAUAAGGACAUAGUCUUAUUAAUAUGAUCAAAUCUCUUGCUAGCUUAUUGGUUUUCAUAGUAGGAGAUGUCACUUGCUGUGCGAUCUUGGACAAGUCACUGAACUCCUCUGAGCUGCACUCGUCUCCCCUGUAACAUGGGGAGUGUAGACUUGAUUACUUAAAUCUCCCGACAUCGUACAAGUCUAUGCUGAUGCCGAGCUUUCCUUGAAAACUGGAAAAAGCACAGGCUUUGAAGUGUGAUGGACUGGGGUUAAUCCCCUGCUUCACAGCUUGCUUUCUUUUUGUCUCUCUGUACCCAUAAGGAUUAUCUCAGAAUGAUCUGGGUAUUUUUGAAAAGUAACAGCAGCUUGGCUGAAAGACAAUUUUGUCCAUAAUAAGACAUCAGCUGUGAGCAGAGUUCUGCAGUGGCAGAAAACGGAUCAGGCAGAGAUUCAGGUUAUAAUUUCCAAACUCCAGUGGCCCACUUGGUAGAACCAGUUUGCAUUUGUAUGUUGAAUUUUUGUUGACUAAAUAACAGUGAUCCAAGAGCUGAGAUGGUUUAUUGGUCCUCUUGGGGAGGGCUGUAUUGCUGUCAAGGUGUGGAUAAAGCAUUUCAGGCAGGCCUGCCGCUGGCCCCUGGCCCAGUGGUGUACAGCUGUGUCAAUAGGCCUUUGAAGUCCACGCACACCAGCUGACUGGUCAGCAGCCCCUGGGAUGGUCUCUACAACCUUCGUCACAGGAAAUUGGGAAAGGCAUGUGGAAGCUAGCAUUGCUGGAAGGGGAGGAGAAGAAAACUGUUGGGAUCUUUGAUGAAAACAUGGGAGAAAUUUACCAAAAUUCACAGGCUGAGCCCAUCAGCAGGAUCUGGGAUUGUUGAUCACUGCUCUCCUUCUUUCUGGCUCCAGAUCAAUGUGAUGAGCUGGUUUAUCUUUAUUCUGACUCGAAUAUGUGCCAGCUAGCGCUUCUGUGAGGCCUCAGUAUAGUGAUAGUAUGCUGGAGGCGCUGGUGGUGCUGCAAGAUUCACAGAGAGCUUCUGAAUCAUUAAAACGUGAAC